CAGCAGGCAGGCGGCGCCGGGCGCGGGCACGGCCGUGCGGUGGAUGACCAUCUCCUGCCCGCCGCUGUGCACGUCGCUGAGCUGCUCCAGCACGGCGAUGCUGCGGGCCGUGCUCACCGACACCCGGUGGUCCUCCGACCAGGCCAGCGGCUCCAAGCCGCUGACCCCGUGCUGCAGCCGCACCGCCGGCUCUCUCCUCACCGCCGUCAGUCGGAACCCGGCGCUGGCCGCCGCGGCCGCCGCCUCCUCCACCAGCGAAUCGAGCCCCAGCGGCGGCUCCUCCUCCCCCGCCGCGGGCACUGACGGGCUGCCCCCGCUCUCCGCCGCCGCCAUCUUACCGCCGCCUCACGGCCGCCUCGCCCGCACCGCGCGUGCGCCGCCGCUGCCGCCGAAGGCCCCGCGCCGCUGUGGGGCUGUCCCGGCGCUGCCUGAGCGCGGCCGCCUCGGCGCGAUGGAGGAGGGCGGGCCGCUGCUCCUCAACCUCGGCUCGGCUCCCAGGCGGCAGCCUAAUGCUCUGAAAAGAAAGCUCCAGUCGUCCCCACAUGGAAACCCACCUCUGAAACGUAAACCUAAGCCAUCAGUAAACAACUUCAAGAAACGUGUUGCAGAGACUGGCACCAGGGAAAAGGGAAGAUCAUCAAAAAGGUCUCUUCCUAAGAAGCAACUGAAUGCCAACCAAAAUGAAAGCCAGAAAAGCAAACUUUUCAUUAAGACAUCCAGCCUGUUUAGAAACAACCCUGAUAUCCCAGAAAUUCACAGAAAAGCAGUGCAGCAGGUGCAGGAAAAUGUUUUCACUACAGACUCUUUCAGCCAGUUGGACCUCCAUCCACACCUGAUAGCCACAAUAACUACAGUUCUGAAGAUAUGUAGUAUGACCAGUGUUCAGAAGCAAACAAUUCCUGUGCUCCUGCAAGGCAAAGAUGCUCUGGUGAGAUCUCAGACUGGUUCAGGUAAAACUCUUGCCUAUGGAAUUCCACUUGUACAGUCCUUGCAAGGAAUGCAAUCCAAAAUACAGCGAAGUGACGGGCCUUAUGCACUGGUGUUAGUCCCAACAAGAGAGCUUGCACUCCAGACUUUUGAUACAAUACAGAAGCUACUCAAGCCAUUUACCUGGAUUGUUCCUGGAGUGCUUAUGGGGGGAGAAAAGAGAAAAUCAGAAAAAGCCAGAUUACGGAAGGGGAUAAAUAUCCUUAUUUCAACUCCUGGUCGCCUGGUUGAUCACAUCAAGUCCACGGAAUGUAUUCAUUUCCGUCGCACUCAGUGGCUGAUCAUUGAUGAAGCAGACAGGAUCCUAGACCUGGGCUUUGAGAAGGAUGUAACUGUGAUACUUAAUGCUUUAAAUGCUGAGAGGGAGACGCGUCAGAAUGUUCUGCUCUCAGCCACACUCACUGAAGGAGUAACACGGCUGGCUGAUAUCAGUUUGAAUGAUCCCAUCAGAAUUUCCAUAGCAGAUGAAAUCCGGGAGAGUCUCAAACCAGCAUUACAAACAGAAAAAGAAGCCAAUAGUUCCUCAAACCGUAUGGACCAGGAAAACUUUGCUGUUCCAGAGAAGCUUAAGCAGUAUUUCAUGAUGGUCCCCAGCAAAUUGAGGCUUGUCACAUUAGCAGCUUUUGUCCUAGAGAAAUGCAAGUAUGAAAAGCAACAUAAGAUGAUCAUCUUUUUCUCCAGUUGUGAACAAGUGGAAUUCCACUACGAGCUCCUUGUUAAUGUCCUUUCAGGAGAGCUAGAGUCUGAACAACCUAAACGUUCAUCUGUCUCCUCUGUGCAAUUACAGUUUCUACGACUGCAUGGGAACAUGGAACAGGAAGAAAGAACAGAGGUCUUCCAGGAGUUCCUAAAAUCCAAAACCGGCAUCUUACUUUGCACUGAUGUCGCAGCACGUGGACUAGACCUGCCUCAAGUCACGUGGAUUGUGCAGUAUAACGCUCCAGCUUCACCUGCGGAAUACAUCCACCGGAUCGGGAGGACGGCUCGGAUUGGCUGUCACGGGAACAGCCUGCUUGUCCUGGCGCCUUCGGAGGCAGAAUAUGUCAGCUUGCUGGCUUCUCACAAGAUUAAUGUCUCAGAGAUAAAGAUGGAGAAGGUACUAUCCAGCCUGAUGAAAGACGAUCGCUUCAGGCUGCGCAGACCAGGAAGCAAGAAAUCCUAUGGCGUGGACCCUCAGGAAGUCCGGGAGCGGGCCACCGUCCUGCAGACACAAUUUGAGAAUUAUGUUCACUCCAGUGAGGGGACCAUCCGGUGGGCAAAAAAAGCACUGCAGUCUUUUCUUUGUGCCUACACCGCCUAUCCCAGAAGCCUCAAGCACAUCUUCCACAUCAAAUCUAUCCACCUGGGUCAUGUGGCCAAGAGCUUUGGCCUGAGAGAUGCUCCCCAGAACCUGACUACUCUUCCAACUGCUAACUCAAAGAAGAAAACCAAACCAAGAGCAAAAAGGUCUGACCUUCUCAAGAAGACCCAUGGCAAACAUCGCCUGGCUGAGAUCUUGCGAUCUGAAUAUUCCAGUGGGAUGGACACUGGUGUAUCCAAGGUCAAGAAGAAGAAGAAGAAAAAACAGACUAAAACUGGCGACCAGCAGAUCCCAGUAUGAGCCAGGACCUCCCAGUCAUUUGCUGCACAACCUGCUGGAGUACGUCAGCCAGAGGUCAGGGUGACCUGCCAGACUGACUGACGAGUGGCUCAGUUUGUCAGGCAAAAAUGGGGAGGGCUCUUGGAGAUGCUGACCUCCUCCCUCUUAUCCCAUAGUUCCAAAUGGAAUUGAAUCCAGACGUGUCCUGUUGCACUGCUGCAAUUAUAUGUGGCUUCCUGAAGAUGCAGCUUGUUUCUAAGCCAAAGAAGCAGUGGUGGCGAACGAGGCGUUCAAGGUGCACGUUUAGGAGGAGGGAGAGGAGACUGCUGCUUUCCCUGCUGCUGUCUGAGGGGACACUUCUGCUCCUGUUGCAGGUAACACAUCGAGUCACUGCCACCUUCCCUCUGUGCAUCGGGGCAAAAGCUGUCCCUGGACACUGUUACUCAAAUGCUGCUGCCUCCCAGGAGUCUCCCCAGUUUCAGUGAAAUUGGUCUGCUUGUGGAGAACUCUUCAGUGUAAUGACACAUGGUCCCUUUGGGGCAGAGCUCAUGGGCACAAAACUUCAUGUCAAAAGUCUGAGUUUGGGAACAAACAUUGUCACCGUAGGAAGGAGCCAGAGUGGAAUCCAGCAAUCUCCAAACUUCUCCUUGCCUGCAGCGUAUUGUCAUACCUAAUUAUGAAAUGCAGAAUAUGUAUGAAAUGUCUCACCUCUCUGAACAUGAAAGCCUUUGCAGAGCCUUGCUAACGCUUCCCACUACUAACCCAGGCUUUCAAGGUUCUCCCUGCUUUGGCUCGGCCUUGCACUGUGCUUUAUUUCGUUGUGUCCCAAGCCAACAGAUUUCAUUUUGUGUUUUUCCCAUGUGUUGUUUUUUUUUUUUUCUCUUCGUUCUUCCUUAUCUCAUCAGCCAGUACCCAUUACUGAAAAAAGGGACACAGUGUGAUCCUGAACACACCAAGGCUGAUCACACCUAUGCCUAGCAUAGGGAGACUGAGCUCGGGUGGGUCAGGAUUUUGGUAUGGGGCGAGCAGGGUUCCAAGCAGGAGACCUGCAGACCCCUCCAGGUACUCACCCACCUCACUGUGCUGCUCCCAACAGCCCUGAGCCUUCCUCCAGGGAGGGGACGAAGCGCAGCCCAUCCAUGUAACACGGGGCCAGAGGGGGUUCCAAUCCAGCAGCAGAAGGGGACAGAGUCACGAGAACAAUACCCACUUUGUGAAUACAGAAUUGAGGGCAGCUGCUGUUGGGUUGUAGUGAGUCAUGCAAAGGGCUGUAGGAGGGAAUAAAUCAGUCCGAAAGUAUUUAAUUUCUCAAGUGAAUGCAACUCCUGAGAACCAAAAUGAUUCUCUUUUCCUCCCAGGCAAUUUCCAAACAGAACACCAGUUUUACUGCAGCACUUUUCUGACUAUUUAAGAAAGAUGUUAAAAAGACUCAAGCAGAAAAUUAACUGUUUUUUUGCAGAGAGAGAAAAUUAAUACUAAUUACUAGAUUAAGAUAAGAACAAGAAGACCCACCUGACUCUGUGAUUACUGCUUGGCAGAGCAAUCAGGUCUAAGGCAAAUGUCAGCUUAGAAAACAGAAAAGAAACCCCCGAGGAUGAAAAUGACUCAGAGGGAGCAAAGCAGGGAGUGAGUUUGGGAAGAAGUGAUCUUUGAGCACCUGAGCUUCUGGCUCACUGUCACAUACGAAUUAAUGGAGACUAUUGGUAAAUUCAUGAUAAUAGCAGCUAUGGCCAUCAGCACAUCAGUGAGACUCCAGGAAAUUGCAUUGCUGUUGGCAUUAAGUGGGCAUGUAACGUUACAAACACGGUGAUGAAUAACGUGACAACGUUUUUUCAGCUUCAUCUUUGUUAGCAGGGAGGUCUGGGUUAACGGGGUGGUUAGGGAAAGAAGGAGGAGAUUAUUAACAGGAAAAAGAAAGUCUUAGAGGAAGUGGGCACACCUGAAGCUAAGCCCAGCUGGUUUGCUCUUAAUAAACUUCAGAGCCAAAGUACAAAAUGUCUUUAAGUUGCAGCUGAGACAGCAGGAGCCCAAUUCUGCCCUUAGUUGCACUUCAGCAGCCCUCUGUCUGCUCUGAGCUGCCUUUAUCUGUGUACCUCCCCUAAUUCAGCUAGAACUUAGUUACCUGCUUGCAGUUAAUUUGUACUCAACACCCCCUUAACAGUCUGGGGUGCUGCAUGUGGGGCCAAGCUGCAGCUCUGUGCCCAGACCAGGAGGACCUGCAUGGUGGUGUGGCUGAGCUCCAUCAGCACUGUGCUGCUGCAGAGCAGUUGGACGCAGCACUGAGGUAUGUGUGCGUGCUAUGGGGUCUGGGCUGGAGAGCUCAUGAGUCAGAUGGGUUCAUUGCAGUGUUCAGUAGAAGUGCAGCUUCGUGUGACUGUUGGCUUCAGGCAGGUUGGUUCUGGUUGUGUUGACCAGCAGGGCCUGGUUGUCCUGCAGCCUGAAGUUGGGUCUGUAACAGUGGCACUAUGGAGCCUUCCUCUCGAGCUCCUCUCCAGGUGUGGGUUUGCCUUCCCUGCUGCUUCUCUGCGCCCUUCUGGCUCCGUGUAGUCCCCAGCAAUGGGAGCCCCAUCCUCUGCUCCUUCAGGCCGGGCUGCGUGCUCCCUGCCCUGCAGCGCCCUGAGUAUGGAGGCUUUGGGAGAGGGAAAAGCAGAACAGGGACCUCAGCGUGGAGGGCACAGCUGAGCAAUCAGACAGCAGGCACCCUGUGCCCUGCUGCUGAGUUGGCUAAUUAGAGGAGAAGGCAACAGAACCACCCUGCUACAUGGGUUUAUGUCCUCCAUCAGCGCAGUGAGGGGGCAGGAGCAGCUCUGAGCUCUCCGUUUUGGUGUGGCAUUGUCUGCGUUCAGACAGAGCAGUAAAACAGCAGCUAAAUCCACUUCUGGUGGUUUCCUUCCACUUGCGCCUCUCAGUGCGCUGGCAAAGCAGCUCUCAAUCCUCACCUGCUCCCCGUGCCCCGGUUAAAGCUAUGGGGCUAGGAGGGGUCGGCAGUCAGGAAUGGGUUUGGGAGUCCUGGGCCCGCACAGGGGCUGCUGAGCUCCCCCGCAGACGAUGCCUCUCUCAGAGCAGAGCCCACCACGCACAGCACCUCUCCCAACCCUUUUUUCUUUGGGAGCUGCCUUUGUUUGACUGCCGGGAGGUCCCCCUCCCUCGAACCCACCCUUCCAGAUGUGAAAAGGCAAAUUGGGAUAUCGCAAUUACCGACGUGUAACGAAGCCUUGUACUUCGUUAAUGUCGGAGGAGGAAUCAGCCACGGCUACAAGGACAAUUAAAUAUUAGAGAGCGCCUUUGAUUCGCGUUCCUGCUGUGCGGAUGGGAGGAAGGAAGGCUGCCCGCCGCCCGCUCCUCGCCUUCCCGUCCGCCCCGCGGAAAGCACACCCACUGCAAGUUGUCCUUUGAUCGAUUUUUAAUAUGAUUUUAAAGAGUUUUGUUUGGGCCUCAUUCUUAUUCAAUGAGAUUAAUUUAAAGCACUUAUCCCCUGGGUUUAAGUCAAUCCAUGUCGGAUUGGGGACGGGGUUUGUUGCCCGCGGAGGGGGCUGUUUGCAGGGCGCUCUGAAAGACUCCUUUCCCACUUCAUUAACCCGGAGCUGGGAGCAAUCUUCACCCCCCCAUUCCUUCUCCUCGCCGAGGUCCGGGGAUUUACCAAACUCCCCCAUUCAGAUGCAAAGGAUCCGCUCCGGCCACAAAAGCCGGGGCUCUCCGCUCGG